GAUGAACGCUGGCGGCGUGCCUAAUACAUGCAAGUCGAGCGAACAGAUGAGGAGCUUGCUCCUCUGACGUUAGCGGCGGACGGGUGAGUAACACGUGGAUAACCUACCUAUAAGACUGGGAUAACUUCGGGAAACCGGAGCUAAUACCGGAUAAUAUAUUGAACCGCAUGGUUCAAUAGUGAAAGACGGUUUUGCUUUCACUUAUAGAUGGAUCCGCGCCGCAUUAGCUAGUUGGUAAGGUAACGGCUUACCAAGGCAACGAUGCGUAGCCGACCUGAGAGGGUGAUCGGCCACACUGGAACUGAGAAACGGUCCAGACUCCUACGGGAGGCAGCAGUAGGGAAUCUUCCGCAACGGGCGAAAGCCUGACGGAGCAACGCCGCGUGAGUGAUGAAGGUCUUCGGAUCGUAAAACUCUGUUAUUAGGGAAGAACAAAUGUGUAAGUAACUAUGCACGUCUUGACGGUACCUAAUCAGAAAGCCACGGCUAACUACGUG
rnacentral:rRNA from 1 species